rnacentral:misc_RNA from 1 species
GGAGAAUAAUGGGAGGGCGAGGAAGACUCGAGAUGGGUUUUUUAGGAGUACCACGAAUGGAGGGGCUGAGUUUUCCGGUGCUGGGAACUCCAGUACCGGAGGGUUAAGAAAGGCUGCGCCAGUGGAGAAUGCAUUGUUGUGCCGUUUGGAGGAUUUGUAUAAAGGGGCCAAGAAAAAGAUGAAAAUUUCUAGGACUGUCUUGGAUUCUUCCGGGAAGCUUCGAACUCUGGAGGAGAUAUUGACCAUUGAUAUUAAACCUGGUUGGAAGAAAGGAACCAAGGUAACUUUUCCUGAAAAAGGAAAUGAGGAACCUGGUGUCAUUCCAGCAGAUCUGGUGUUUGUAAUAGAGGAAAAACCUCAUCAUGUCUAUGUGAGAGAUGGUAAUGACCUUACUGUCAAUCAAGAGAUUUCACUUCUUGAAGCUCUCACGGGGAAAACACUGGAACUGACAACACUGGAUGGGAGAAACCUCAUUAUUCCAUUGACCGACAUUGUCAAACCAGGGCAUGAGAUAAUAGUACCAAAUGAAGGGAUGCCAAUCUCAAAAGAGCCUCGGAAAAAAGGAAAUCUGAGAAUCAAGAUAGAUGUUAAGUAUCCAACAAGGCUCACAGAAGCACAGAAAUCUGACCUCAGGAGAGUUCUCGGCCAGGGGUGACCAUAUGAACAUAGGUAUUCAGAUUACAAGGGGUGACUAUAUGAACACAGGUAGAUAGAGCAGAAUGCAGACGUUGGAUGUAAAUAUAGGAUAUGCUUAUUGCUUGCAACUGGAACUGUGAAUACUAGGAAGGUCUAGUAGCCUCAAUGUUUUGGGGACAAAGGAUUUUUGGGGGAGUUCGGAUAGUGGUGGGAUUAAUUUUUUCAUUGGUCGGGGACAUAUCCCUCCACAUUAUUUGAUCGAUAAAAUAUAGAUGAUGUUAAUGCAAGCUCUUCUCUUCUGUUGCUUGUGAUUUUAGGGGUCUGAUCAAGACAAAAAUGCACUAGGAUCUUGCAUUUGAGUUGGUUCAAUGUUGAAUUAUGUCCAUUAUAUGUUGACAUAGAGCAAGAUUUAUGUUUUUCUCCCUUGAGAAAACCCCCUGCUCUUUUCUUGGUCUC